rnacentral:lncRNA from 1 species
GGAACCUGGCAGCUUUUCCCCAAGACAAAGCCAAUGUGAGAAGCAUCUGGGAGUUUUAACUCAGAACUGAGAUUCGCCGUUCAGAGUACAUGGAGAUUCCAUCCAUAAGGUCGUAUAAUUUCCGUUCAAGUGUGUUGCUUGAGAUACCAGAUUAUUACAUUGAUUGAUUUUUCAAAUGUUGAGCCAGACUUGCAUUCCUGGGGUAAACCCCACUUGUUCAUGAAUCAGCUGUUUAUCCAAGGAGGCCUGGUUCCUUUAAUUGAAGAAAG